rnacentral:rRNA from 1 species
UACGAAGGGGGCAAGCGUUGUUCGGAAUUACUGGGCGUAAAGGGUGUGUAGGCGGAAAUGUAAGAUAGGGGUGAAAUCCCGGGGCUCAACCUCGGAAUUGCCUUUAUUACUAUAUUUCUAGAGUGAUAGAGAGGAUAGUGGAAUACCCAGUGUAGAGGUGAAAUUCGUAGAUAUUGGGUAGAACACCAGAGGCGAAGGCGACUAUCUGGCUAUCAACUGACGCUGAGGCACGAAAGCAUGGGGAUCAAACAGG